GUGCCAGCAGCCGCGGUAAGACGUAGGGCGCGAGCGUUGUCCGGAUUUAUUGGGCGUAAAGAGCUCGUAGGCGGCUCGUUGCGUCCAUCGUGAAAACUCAGGGCUUAACUCUGAGCUUGCGGUGGAUACGGGCGGGCUAGAGUUCGGUAGGGGAGACUGGAAUUCCUGGUGUAGCGGUGAAAUGCGCAGAUAUCAGGAGGAACACCGGUGGCGAAGGCGGGUCUCUGGGCCGAUACUGACGCUGAGGAGCGAAAGCGUGGGGAGCGAACAGGAUUAGAAACCCUUGUAGUCC
rnacentral:rRNA from 1 species